GACGGGGACCCGCACAAGCGGUGGAGCAUGUGGUUUAAUUGGAAGCAACGCGAAGAACUUUACCAAAUCUUGACAUCCUUUGACAACUCUAGAGAUAGAGCUUUCCCCUUCGGGGGACAAAGUGACAGGUGGUGCAUGGUUGUCGUCAGCUCGUGUCGUGAGAUGUUGGGUUAAGUCCCGCAACGAGCGCAACCCUUAAGCUUAGUUGCCAUCAUUAAGUUGGGCACUCUAAGUUGACUGCCGGUGACAAACCGGAGGAAGGUGGGGAUGACGUCAAAUCAUCAUGCCCCUUAUGAUUUGGGCUACACACGUGCUACAAUGGACAAUACAAAGGGCAGCGAAACCGCGAGGUCAAGCAAAUCCCAUAAAGUUGUUCUCAGUUCGGAUUGUAGUCUGCAACUCGACUACAUGAAGCUGGAAUCGCUAGUAAUCGUAGAUCAGCAUGCUACGGUGAAUACGUUCCCGGGUCUUGUACACACCGCCCGUCACACCACGAGAGUUUGUAACACCCGAAGCCGGUGGAGUAAC
rnacentral:rRNA from 1 species